GCCAGUGUGGUGUAAUGGUUUGAGUGUUAGACUAUGAUUCUGGAGAUCAGAAUUCGACUCCCAGCUCAGCCA